GAUGAACGCUGGCGGCGUGCUUAACACAUGCAAGUCGAACGGAAAGGCUCCUGCUUGCAGGGGUACUCGAGUGGCGAACGGGUGAGUAACACGUGGGUGAUCUGCCCUGCACUUCGGGAUAAGCCUGGGAAACUGGGUCUAAUACCGGAUAGGAAGAUGGUUUGGAUGCCAUUGUGGAAAGUUUUUUCGGUGUGGGAUGAGCUCGCGGCCUAUCAGCUUGUUGGUGGGGUAAUGGCCUACCAAGGCGUCGACGGGUAGCCGGCCUGAGAGGGUGUACGGCCACAUUGGGACUGAGAUACGGCCCAGACUCCUACGGGAGGCAGCAGUGGGGAAUAUUGCAUAAUGGGCGCAAGCCUGAUGCAGCGACGCCGCGUGGGGGAUGACGGCCUUCGGGUUGUAAACUCCUUUCGCUAGGGACGAAGCGCAAGUGACGGUACCUGGAGAAGAAGCACCGGCUAACUACGUG
rnacentral:rRNA from 1 species